UUAACCUGGCCUUGACAUACUAAGAACUUUCCAGAGGUGAUGGUGCUUCGGGAACUUAGAUACAGGUGCUGCAUGGCUGUCGUCAGCUCGUGUCGUGAGAUGUUGGGUUAAGUCCGCAACGAGCGCAACCCUUUUCCUUAUUUGCCAGCGGGUCAUGCCGGGAACUUUAAGGAUACUGCCAGUGACAAACUGGAGGAAGGCGGGGACGACGUCAAGUCAUCAUGGCCCUUACGGCCAGGGCUACACACGUGCUACAAUGGUCGGUACAAAGGGUUGCUACCUCGCGAGAGGAUGCUAAUCUCAAAAAGCCGAUCGUAGUCCGGAUCGCAGUCUGCAACUCGACUGCGUGAAGUCGGAAUCGCUAGUAAUCGCGGAUCAGAAUGCCGCGGUGAAUACGUUCCCGGGCCUUGUACACACCGCCCGUCACACCAUGGGAGUUUGUUGCACCAGAAGUAGGUAGUCUAACCGCAAGGAGGACGCUUACCACGGUGUGGCCGAUGACUGGGGUAAAGUCGUAACAAGGUAAGCGUAGAUGA
rnacentral:rRNA from 1 species